rnacentral:rRNA from 1 species
GGCAGGCCUAACACAUGCAAGUCGAGCGGCAGCGGGUCCUUCGGGAUGCCGGCGAGCGGCGGACGGGUGAGUAAUGCCUAGGAAUCUGCCUGGUAGUGGGGGAUAACUCGGGGAAACUCGAGCUAAUACCGCAUACGUCCUACGGGAGAAAGCGGGGGAUCUUCGGACCUCGCGCUACCAGAUGAGCCUAGGUCGGAUUAGCUAGUUGGUGAGGUAAAGGCUCACCAAGGCGACGAUCCGUAGCUGGUCUGAGAGGAUGAUCAGCCACACUGGAACUGAGACACGGUCCAGACUCCUACGGGAGGCAGCAGUGGGGAAUAUUGGACAAUGGGCGAAAGCCUGAUCCAGCCAUGCCGCGUGUGUGAAGAAGGUCUUCGGAUUGUAAAGCACUUUAAGUUGGGAGGAAGGGCAGUAAGCUAAUACCUUGCUGUUUUGACGUUACCGACAGAAUAAGCACCGGCUAACUUCGUGCCAGCAGCCGCGGUAAUACGAAGGGUGC